AAUGAACGCUGGCGGCGCGCCUAAUACAUGCAAGUCGAGCGAGAAGACGUAGCAAUACGUUUGUAAAGCGGCGAACGGGUGAGGAAUACAUGGGUAACCUACCCUCGAGUGGGGAAUAACUAGCCGAAAGGUUAGCUAAUACCGCGUACGCUCCUUGGACUUCGGUUCAGGGAGGAAAGCGAUACCGUGGGUAUCGCGCUCUUGGUUGGGCUCAUGUCCUAUCAGCUUGUUGGUGAGGAACGGCUCACCAAGGCUUCGACGGGUAGCUGGUCUGAGAGGACGAUCAGCCACACUGGCACUGCGACACGGGCCAGACUCCUACGGGAGGCAGCAGUAAGGAAUAUUGCGCAAUGGGCGAAAGCCCUGACGCAGCGACGCCGCGUGGGGGAUGAAGGUCUU
rnacentral:rRNA from 1 species